GGCAGUGUGGUGUAGUGGUUUGAGCAUUGGACUGUGACUUUGGAGACCAGGGUUCGAAUCCCAGCUCAGCCA